rnacentral:lncRNA from 1 species
CUUGAAAAUCAAUUAAUGCACAUGUCGCAUGAGAUAUACUUUUUAAAUCACAAAUUGGAGAAUGGUUGACUCGGAGAAAAGCCAGAGAGAAACCGGAUAUUUGGAUUGAGUAUUUAAACAGAUGGAAUAUCGAGAAAAUAACGGCUUAUUUAUCGUCAAGUAUCGCCGACACAAACGAGUAAUACUACUAUCUACGGUCCGCAUUUCAAACAAUUAUCCAGCUGCGAUGAAAGGAACGUGUCUUUUAUUCGGGCACUCGAGCCUACUCGACGUUCCGUGCAAAACAGUGAUAAGUGAUAAAGACCCUUAGGAGAAUUUUAUUUAAUCGUUAAUUAUCACAAAAAAUAUCGGACUUAUAAAUUAUCGCCAGACAGUAGAUGGACUACGGACCAAGUCAGGAGCGGAUUCCAUCAACGUUAAAUCGUCAUAAGAGAAUAAAUUAUACUUUUAAGUAAUUAUUUCAUAAAAAAUUAUAAUUAUAAUUUUCUAAAUAGAAUAAAAUGCAAUAAAA